rnacentral:rRNA from 1 species
CGCAUCUGUGCAUGCAGCAUAUCAAUAAGCGGAGGAAAAGAAACUAACAAGGAUUCCCUUAGUAACGGCGAGUGAAGCGGGAAGAGCUCAAAUUUGAAAUCUUCAAGGUUUUACCUUGACGAAUUGUAGUUUAAAGAAGUGUUUUCUGUUGAAGUUUUGGUAAAAGUUCUUUGGAAUAGGACAUCAUAGAGGGUGAGAAUCCCGUAUUUGACCAUUAUUUUCAGCUGUGUGAUACACUUUCAAAGAGUCGGAUUGUUUGGGAAUGCAGUCCAAAAUGGGUGGUAAAUUUCAUUCUAAAGCUAAAUAUUGGCGAGAGACCGAUAGCGAACAAGUACCGUGAGGGAAAGAUGAAAAGAACUUUGAAAAGAGAGUUAAACAGUACGUGAAAUUGUCAAAAGGGAAGCGUUUGACACCAGUGUUGUUUUCUCGAAAAUCAAUUAAAAAGAGUUAGAUUUUGUUGUGUAUUGACCUUAACAGCUUGCAUUUCAAUUUUCUUGCUUUUUUUAAUGCACUUUUCGUUUAACAAGUCAACAUCAGUUUCUUUUGUUGUAAAAAGGUCAUUGGAAGGUGGCUUUCUUUUCGGAGAAAGUGUUUAUAGCCUUUGACUCCUGCAAUCGGAGAGACUGAGGUCUGCAGCGUAGAUCCUUCGGGGUUAGAUACAUUUGCGCUAAGUUAUAAGCUUUUUAUAGACAACUUGUUGACUAUGAUUAGUCUUGUAGCUUACUCGCUUAUGCUAUUUUACCUACGCUUAGGAUGUUGACGCGCGUGUGUGCGUG